CACUAUGUUGGCCAGGAUGGUCUCGAUCUCUUGGCCUCUUGAUCUGCCCACUUCGGCCUCUCAAAGUGCUGGGAUUACAGGCCUGAGCCAAUGCACCCGGCCCUAAAUAAGUAACUUCUUAAACAAGAAAGGCAAUCAUCCUGAAACAAUAGCCAAGGAAGUUAAGAGUUAGGAGAUAUUUGCUUACCCUACAGAAACUAAAGAUAACAACUUAACAAAGCUCCCUGAAUUGUCUUUCAGAUGGUGGGACAUAGACCCCAAGUAAGAGUGAAGCGAAGACUCAACUUUAACCACCACCCUCUAAGUUUCUUUUGAGGAGCUUGGAGAACGUCACUCCCUGUGGGUCUAAGUGGUACAGGCGCUAAAAAAUUAUUUAGGCAGAUAGUGAGGGUAAGGAAGUCCUCGGCUGUUUCCCUUUUAACAAAAAGCAGUCCCUAAAUCAUUUAUUUUCUAACAAAGAGCAGCCUGUAAAAUCGAGCUGCAGACAUAGAUAAGCAAGCUGGAAGCUUGCAUGGGUGAAUGCAGCAGCUGUGCCAAUAGGAAAAGGCUACGUGGCGGCCAGGCAUGUUCAACAUGGCGGCUCCAUCUUCCCUUUUCUUUGUCAACUAGGUGUACAGUAAGGAACCGACAACAUCACACCGGCCAGGUAGAGAAGCCAUUUGCAUAAUAGAAGAUUAGGGUGGGGUGGCCAGCUUCUUUGCGCGCUUUGUAAACAUCACACCUAGUCCACCAAUCUUUGGGCCCUAUGUAAAUUAGACAACACCUCCUCAAGCCAGUCUAUAAACCCUCCCCUCCCCGCACAUGCAUUUCACCGCAAAACCCAAAGACCCACUUAGGUGUCCCCUCUCUCCGCAGAAGAGAGAGCUUUUCCCUUUCUCUCUGUUAAACCUCUUCUCUUAAACUCACUUCUUGCGUGUCCUCGUCCUCGAUUUCCUUGGCGUAAGACGACGAACCUCAGGCAUUUACCCCAGACAACGAAGGUGCUUCAUAAGGUCAUGCAGCUGGUUGGCUUCAUCCUUAGGCUGCCUCUACAGUGGAAACAAGAUGGUGGCUACAUAUUCAGAAGAAGAGUGACAUCUUCUCUUCCACGCACCCCCUUGAAGCUCAUUGGCUCUAACUGGUUAUGGUCAACAUAGGACUGUGUAGCCAAGAGCUACAGGAUGGAUUGCUGAGGCCAGGGAGAUUGAAAGGAAGUCACAGCCCAAUCUCAGAGGGAUCCACGGAGCCAGCGAAAGCUAAGGCGGGACUUACCCAACAGAGGGUCCUGGCCCAGUCACCCAGUGGCACAACCCAACUGGGAGAUCUGAGCAUCUACCAACUGUGGCCACCAGUGAGAUGGUGUCAUUGUCUGGGGUAAAUACCGGGGGUUUGUUGUCUCAUGCCAAGGAAAUCGAGUUUGCGGACACAAGAAUUGGGUUUAGGAGCAGAGGUUUAAUAGGCAAAAGAAAGAGAAAGGGUAACAGUAGGAGAGAGAGGAGUGCGCCAGUGGGACUUCUGACCCACGAUGGAGUGCAUUGGAUUUUAUAGACAGGCUUGAGGAGGCAGUGUCUGAUUGACACAGGGCCCACAGAUUGGUUGGACCAGGUGUGAGUUUUACAUAGCGUGUGGGGAAGCUGGCCACGCCACCCUAAUCUUAUUAUGCAAAUAGGCUUUCCACUUGGCCGGCACCAUGUUGUCUGCUGCCUAAUGCACAUGUGGUUGGAAAGGGAAAGGGAAGAUGCAGCUGCCAUUUUGAACAUGCCUAGUCCCAGGUAGCCUUUUCCUAUUGACACAGCUGCCGCAUUCACCCGUGCAAGCUUCUGUGUCUGCAGCUCAAUUUUACAGGCUGCUGUUUGUUAGAAAAGAAAUGAUUCAGGGGCUGCUUUUCAUUAAAAGGAAACCUUACUGAGGACUUCCUUACCCUCACUGUCUGCCUAAAUAAUUUCUUCUUUACUCCUAUAUCACCGGCAUCAGAGGCCAGCAGAAGUCUCAGUGAUCGGGCAGGACAAAGGACAUUUCUGCAGAGAAUACUGAAGGUCCAGGAGACAGCACAGUGGGACAUAUGUGGGCCCCUGCCCCAUCAUUAGGAGGAAGUGUAGGCUUUUCUGAGGACCUGGAUGCCAUACCAUCUUGAGACAGAGAAUGAGGAACCAACCCUUGACAAGAGAGAGAUGGCCCUGGUAGAGAAUUUGAACCUUGAAUUGGAUUGAAUAUUUAUCCAAAAGAAAUUGAACCAGCACUAGAGAGACUGUUUUGAACUAGAAGUAACCAAGUUACCUUAACUGGAAGUUAGGAUUUUUCCACCCCUGACAUCAGUGGGACAAGGGCACAUGAGCAAGAUAUUUACGGACAAAGAAGAACGUUCAUGUUUUGUACACCUGCUUUGUAGUAUGUUGCAGAUACCGUUGGUUCCCCUGAUUUCAGGUGUUCUCGUUCUUUCUGUACAGUCACUUGCUCAGGGCAAAUGGUCCUCUCCUGCAUGACUCAGAAGCACAUACUGAUUAUUCUAAACUGGUCUUCAUGCCCCGUUCCCUUGUCAGUGAUGUAGUUAGGCAAAGGAUUAUGUAACAAUUCUGGCUAUGAGACAUUGAAACUUCUACUGUGGGGCAUCUGGGAAGAUUUUUCUCAUUGAAAAGAAGAGACGCAGGGUGUGGAGACUCAUGCCUGUAAUCCGAGCCCUUGGGAGGCCCAGGAGGGAGGGUCACCUGAGUCCAAGAGCUCAAGGCCAGUUCGAGCAACAUACCAAGGCUGCAAUAAACAAGCAAACAAACAAACAAACAUUAGCUGGGCACGGUAGUGCACACCUGUAGUCCCAGCUACUCAGGAGGCUGAAAUGGGAGGAUUGCUUGAGCCCAGGAGUUUGAGGCUGCAGUGAGCUAUGAUUGCACCACUGCACUUCAGCCUGGGCAACAGAGCGAGAUCCUGUCUCUAUAAAAAAAUUUUAAAAAAAGGAAGAAAAGAAAAGAAGAGACACACGUGGAAGAAACAGUCUCUAUUCUGAUGCAAGUAAUGACUGGAACUGUGGCAGACAGCUUGGAACCAUGAGAGGAGUUAACUGAGGGCUAUCAGGGAAACUAGAAGAAGCCUGGGUCCUUGAGGAGGCAGACUACUAAAUGGACCAUCGUCCCUUCACCCUUUUUGUUAUGUGAGAUAAUAAACUCUCUAAUUUAAAUCUACUUGAGAUGAAUAUCUGAUACUUGUAGCCAAAAUCAUCCUUAAUGGGACAGAGUGUGGGUAAAUUAUCAACCUUGCUAGCCUUGCCUCAUAAUUUUUGAAUUUAUUUUUAUCUUUUAAUUUUGUUUAUUUUUUAUUUUUAAAGUAGAGACAGGAUCUCAUUAUGUUGCUCAGGCUGGUCUCGAAUCCCUGGCCUCAAGGGAUCCUCCUGCCUCAGCCUCCUAAAGUGCUGAGAUUACAGGUAUGAGCCCCUAUGCCAGGCCAUUGCUUUGCCAUUGUAUCCAUGUGAUUGCAAAAAAGAAAAUCGUGCUAAUAGUCAUUAGCUUUGAAAGACACUUGGAAUUUCUUCCUUCAAGCGAGCUUUAUUCCCAAACUGUUGAACCCUCUGGGUUUGACAGCAGGAUCUACUUCACAUGGUAGCAUCUCCUUCUAUUUGCCUUCAAGACAUUUCCUAAGGGAAGAGAUGAAGACACACUUGUAACGUGAACAAAAUAAUCCUUUUUCCUUUUAAAAAUGUAUGAUUAAAAUGUAAAAUAUAUAUAUAUAUUCUUAAAUGUAAAAUAUAUAUAUAUAUCUUCUAGAGUUGCCUGGAAAGUGAGCUGAGAGCAGUUAAACAUCAAACCCACUGCUGCUUUCCAGCUUUAACCAGAAUCACCAUUGUCUUUCCCUAUGAAAGAAAGGAAAUCUUAGAACUUAAAAGGAUUUCAAGAAGAACUGAAUUUUAACCACUGAGAUGACCAGAGAUGUAAGGCUCACACUGACUGAAGCAGUAUAAUUUGGCUGUCUUUUUAACAUUCAGAAUUCUCUCUGACUCUCCAAAAUUGCAUCUACUUUGAUGAGCUUAUUUUUUUCCUCAACCAAAUUACAUUUCUUGGAGUUCACCUGAUACAUCAUGCCUACUUACUUUUUUUUUUAGAUGGAGUCUUGCUCUGUCACCCAGGCUGGAGUGCAGUGGUGCAAUCUCGGCUCAUUGCAACCUCUGCCUCCCAGGUUCAAGUGAUUCUCCUGCCUCAGCCCCCCAAGUAGCUGGGAUUACAGGUGCGUGCCACCACGCCCAGCUAAUUUUUGUAUUUUUAGUAGAGACAGGGUUUCGCCAUGUUGGUCAGGCUGGUCUCGAACUCCUGACCUCAAGUGACCCACCUGCCUUGGCCUCCCAAAGCGCUGGGAUUACAGGGGUAAGCCACCAUGUCCAGCCCUGCCUACUUACUUUGAACAAAUUAUUUCAGGCUAAUUUACUAGCUGGAGAGAAAGAGGGAGGGAAGCAGGGAGGAAGCAAAGAUAGAGGGAGAGAAAGAGAGGGAGACAGAGAGGAAGAGGGAGAGGGAGAGGAGAGAGAGAGAAAGAAUGAAUUGUGUUCUCCCAAAAUUAGUAUGUUGAAGUCUUAAUAUCCCAGUACCUCAGACUAUGACUGUAUCUGUAGAUAGGGCUUUUGAAAAGGUGAUUAUGUUUAAAUGAGGCCAUUGGGGUGGGCCCUAAUCCAGUCCAACUGUUGUCAUUGUAAGAAGAAGAGAUUAGGACACAGAGAUACCAGGCAUGUGCGUGCCCAGACAGACAACUAUGUGAAGAGACAACAAUAGGUCAGCCAUCUGCAAGCUGAGGAGAGAGGCCUCAGAGGAAACCAACCCUGCCGGCACCUUGAUCUUGGAGUUCCAGCCUCCAGAACUGUGAGAAAAUGUAUUCCUGUUGUUGAAGCCAUUUCUGUUGUUCUGUGGCAUUUUGUUAUGGCAGCCCUAGCAAACUAAUAUGAUAAUUAACUCUUCCAAGUGCUGUUUCCAUUACAAAGUAUCCCAGAAUUUUAUAUUGGUGAAUCUGUGUUCCUCAGGCCAUGUCUUCCCUGUUGGAAAUGCUGUUAUUAUGUCCCAAGGUGACUUCAAGGAGUGGGUUAGAGGCUGAGACAGAGGGUGUGAGAUCGUCACUACUGUAACCUUGCUUUGUUCAGUAUGAACAUGCUCAGAUAUUCUCUGUUUUGUAUUGGGAGAUCGGGAAAGGAUUUAUUGAAAAAAUGUUUCCAUUAGCAAAUGAAGUUUGAAGGCAACUACCGUCUACAAGAGCAAACAAAUGCAUAAAAUUCAAAUAUUAUUUUGUCCCAACCUCAGUGUCAUGAGGGUCUCUUAUACAGAAUAGUAGAUGAGAAUAAAAUUUGAAUUGAUAAUACUGGAAUAGAGUAGUCAUUAUGCAAUGUAACAAACCUCAAAUAUUCAGUGGUUUAACACUAUAGAUGUUUAUUUACCACUCAUUCAAUGUAUGUGUUCCUUGUUAGCAGUAGUUUUCCUUGUAGUCAUUCAGGAAUCCAGGCAUAUUAGUUAUCUAUUUCUGUGUACCCCAUAAAAACCAUUUAUUAUUGCACACUUUCAGAGGGUCAGUAAUUUGGGAGUGGCUUAGCUGGGGUGUUCUGACCAGAGUCUCUCUUGAGGUUGUAGUCAAGAUGUUGGCUAGGGUUGCCAUCAUCUGAAAGCUUGACUGGGACUGUAUCCACUUUCAAGAUGGCGCACUUACUUGGCUGUUGGCAGGAAGCCUCAAUGACUUAUCAUGUGGUCUUCUCCACAGUGCUGCUUGAGCAUCCACACAACAUGGCGCUAGCUUCCCCCAGAGUGAGUAAUCCAGAAUGAAGAAGACAGAAACCACAAUAUCCUUUAUGAACUGGCCUUAUAAGUAAUAUUUUGUCAUUUCCAUAAAGUCCUAUUGGUUACACAAGACUGCCGUAUUCAAUAUAAGAGUGACAACACAUGGGGAUAAAUACUUGGAGGUGUAAAUCAUUGGGAACCAUCCUGGAAGUUGCCUACAAUACUAGGAUCUAUGGCUACAAUUCCCUGGGUCUUGGCUUCAAGACAGAGAAAAGGGAAAGAACAUGAAACAGCCCCAUGUGGUUUUUGUUUUUUUUUUAAUGGACAAGAGUAAGAAAUGGUGAACAUUUCUUCUACUCAUAUUCUACAGUUAGAAUUUGGUCACAUAAUGUAUCUAACUAUGAAGGUAGCUAGGUAAUAUCAUCUCUUGUUGGGAGGGUAGCUGGGAAUACCUCUAUACAAUGGAAGGAAGAGCAUGAACUUUUGGUGGAGAGAUAAUGCUCUCUGCCAUGAUAAAAUGAAAAAAAUAACAUAUGCAGAAUGGUCAACAUAACAGCAUGAAGCAAAUGCACAAUGAAUGAUAAUCAUAAUAUAGUGCUCUUUUGAUAAUCUAGUGCAUACCCAGAACCUGGGAGGUAUUUGGUUUUAAUACAUGUUUGUUGUAUGAAUACGUGAGUUAAGGUAAUGGAUGCAAAAAUGGUAUAAAUAGGAGGAAUUAUAAUUGAUAUUUCUUGAGUUAGCAUGUUUCAUUGGCUAUCUUUAUGGAGGUCCAGACCCUCCUCCGAAGGUGGAUAUUACUGUUCCGAUUUCAAUUGGUCAAAUAGAGACCAAGAGACUUUAGGCAACUUGUUUUAGAUUUGGCACUGAAUGGCGGGAAAGUGCAGAUUUUCUGAGUACUAUGUCUGGGCUCUUUGCUAUAAGCACUAUUGAUUUGAAUGGAUAAGAACAGAAAAGUCCUUUGCUCAGAGGAGAAUCAGGGCCACUGUAUCAGUCAGGGUCCAAUCAAGAGGCAGAAACUAUACCAGUUAUUUAAUUUCAUUUAUUUAUUUAUUAUUAUUUUUUAGAGAUGUGGUCUUGCUGUGUUGCUCAGGCUGUUCUCGAACUCCUGGGCUCAAGCAAUCCACCUGCCUUGACCUCCCAAACUGCUGGGAUUACAGGUGUGAGCCACUGUGCCUGGCCCCGUACCAGUUAUUUUAACAGAGAGAAUUUAGUAUGGCCCAGGCGCAGUGGUUCAAGCCUGUAAUCCCAGCACUUUGUGAGGCUGAGCAGGGAGGAUCACUUGGACCCAGGAGUUUGAGACCAGCCUGGGCAACAUAUUGAGAGUCCACUUAAGAAAAAGAAUUUAAUAUAAAGAACUUUUUUCUUUUCUUUUUUUUUUUUUUGAGAUAGAUGGAGUCUCACUCUGUUGCCCAGGCUGGAGUGCUGUGGCGUGAUCCCAGCUCACCGCAACAUACGCCUCCUGGAAUCAAGCACCUCUCCCGCCUCAGCCUCCGGAGCAGCUGGGAUUACAGGCACUCGCUAACACGCCUGGCUAAUUUUUGUAUUUUAGUAGAGGCAGGGUUUCACCAUGUUGACCAGGCUGGUCUCAAACUGCUGACCUCAAGUGAUCCCCUGUCCUCGGGCUCCCAAAGUGCUGGGAUUACAGGCAUGAGCCACCACGCCUGGCCGAGAAUUGUUAACUAGGAAUCAAGUUGAUAACCAGGCAACUAAAAAGGAAAAAAAAACAACAAAACAAAACCAACCCAACAACAAUAUUAAUGUAUCACAGAAGAAGCAACUGAAGGAAACAGCUAUACUCAGAGGUCUGGGGGAACAAUGAGAAAAGGUUGGCAUUAACACUUAGAAUCAGCCAAGUGCAGUGGCUCAUAUCUGUAAUCCCAGAGACUCAGGAGACCAAGGUGGGAGGAUUGCUUGAAGCCAGGAGUUUGAGACUAGACUGGGCAACAUAGUGAGACCCUGUCUCUACAAAACAUAAUAAAAUUGGCCAGGCAGAGUGGCAUUCACCUGUGGUCCCAGCUACUCGGGAGGUUGAGGUAGGAGGAUCACUAGAGCCCAGUUACAGUGAGUAUGACUCACUGUAACUACACUCCACUACACUCCAGCCUGGGAGACAGAGUGAGACCCUGUCUCAAACAAACAAACAAACAAACCAAAAAAUCACUAGAAUAAUAGGAGAAAAGUGCCCUGCAAACUGAAACUCAGAUCUCUAAGGAGGGACGGGGGUUGGAGUCUUUGAGGGGUGCAAUUAGACUGGUUCUGCCAGUGUUAGGAAAACUGCAAACUGGAUUGAGAUGCUGCUAUGGGAAGGAACUGCCAUUGCAGGAGAAAGGAAGCCUUGCUAGGAGAGUGUUCACAGGAACAGAAAGAGCAAGUUCCUUUUUCCUCCAGCCUUGCAGUUCCCCUCUAACACCCCCAUGGGUAGAACCUCACAGGAAGCAGCUGGAACAGCAGAAAUAUGCUUUUCCCAAUUCCAACUCUUGUAUCACAAAGCAGAAUACAGAAGGUUGGGUUUGGAGUUGAGAGAUAACAACUAAAUAAUAGCUGGCACAAGGCCCACCUGAUCAGAAAUUAAUCUCACCUCCUUGGGGAUAAGGGCUUUGGGUGGGAGGAAAGGAGGCUCUUGAACUCAUGGGCAUUGAGCACGUGACUAGUUGUCUUAGAGAAAAUGUGCCACCCUGCAGGGCCGCCUGAAAGCUUGUACAAGUGCCUGAGGAAAGCCGGAUUUGGCAGGCUGCAACCACGGUGGAUGACAGCUGAAGGAGAAUUACAGCAGCAGCAGUUAAGUAGAAGAUGUUCACACUUCCUCGCUCUGCAUCUUUCUUCCUGGAGCCCAACACCUCGGAGGAGAAUGGGAAACCCAGAAGAAGGAGUGGGAAGUAGGGUUGCCACAUAAAAUAUAGGACUCUCAGUUACAUUUGAAUUUCAGAUAAGCAGCAGAUUAUUUCUUAGUAUAAGUAUGUGCCAGUAUGUGUGUAUGUGCACACAUAUGUGCACAUGUAUGCAUGCAUCAGCUAGAUUCUGCAACCAUCAGAGAAAUAGACAAAGGUCCUUUUGACCAGUGGUCAAACUGAGCUAUGAGGAGAAGAUCUUGAAAUUGCAUGUGAUAUUGAAGCUUUAAACUUACUGAGUUGCUUGUGUUAGGCUUUUAAAUACCGUAAUGGGACUAAAAACUAUGUUUCUAAGAGAGAGGAAUAUUUGGGAGUACAGCUGACCCUUGAACAAUGCAAGGCUUAGAGGCAUUGUCAAAAAUCCACAUGUAACUUUUGACUCCACAAACAUUUAACUAUUUUUCUUGUCUUUUUUCUUUUUUUUUUUUUGAGAUGGAGUCUCACUCUGUCUCCCAGGCUGGAGUGCAGUGGGGUGAUCUCAGCUCACUGCAACCUUCACCUCCCAGGUUCAAGCAAUUCUCAAGCCUCAGCCUCCUGAGUAGCUGGGAUUACAGGUGUGCACAAAGAUGCCUGGCUAAUUUUUGUAUUUUCAGUAGAGAUGGGGUUUCACCAUGCUGGCCAGGCUGGUCUUGGACUCCUGACCUCACGUGAUCUGCCCACCUUGGCCUCCCAAAGUGCUGGGAUUACAGGCAUGAGCCACGGCAUCUGCCCAAAAACUGAACUAUUAGUAGCCUACUGUUGACUGGAAGUCUUACUGAUAACAUAGUCAAUUAACACAUGUUUUGUGUUAUAUGUAUUAUAUACUAUAUUCUUACAAUAAAGCAAGCUAGAGAAAAUAGAAUAUUAAGAAAAUCAUAAGGAAAAUAUAUUUAGGAUUCUUUUUUUUUUGAGAUGGAGUCUUGCUGUGUCACCCAGGCUGGAAUGCAGUGGUCAGCCUUCCAACGUGCUGAGAUUACAGGCGUGAGCCACUAUGCCCGGCCAUAUUUACUAUUCAUUAAGUGGAAGCGGAUCAUCAUAGAUGACUUCAUCCUCAUCCUCUUCACACUGAAUAGGGUGAAGAGGAGGAGGAAGAGGAGGGGUUGGUCUCACUGUCUCAAGGGUGGCAGAGGCAGAAGAAAAUCCAGGUAGAAGUGGACCCAAGCAGUUCAAAUCCAUGCUGUUCAGGGGUCAACUGGGUCAACUGUGUAGUUAAAGGUAGUGAGUAGUUGGAGAAAAAUGAAACUGCUUUCGUGUUUAUACCUUCACUGAGUUCAGACCUCGUAAUAAACUGGGUAUCUGUAUGUGUGACAAACAAUAGAGGAGAUGUGUGUGCAGGGUGUUCAAGGGGCUUUUGCAUCUUUGCUGGUGAUCACAAAUAGGGCUUUAAUUCUUGGACUUGAAGAGCUGCAGGAGCCAUUGAAAGGAUACAUGGAGCUAGUUGAAUACCACAUUAUCAUUUAGCAAGUGAUAUUUAGCUCUAUUCCUGUGGAUGAACCCUGAUUAGGAUCUUAAGUUUGUAUGUUGUUGGAGAUUAUUCUUGUUUGUCUUGGAAAUGAACAUUCAUUCAUUCGUUCUGGUGCCUAGCAUAGACAAUAAAUCACAAUUCAAAUAAUGAAAAAUUAUAUAUUUAUUUAUUAAGCAUCUACUGCAUGUAGGUUCUGUGUUAGAUGCACAAAAAUGAAUACCAUAAAAUCCUUUACUAAAACGCCAUUCCUGUCUUUGAGUGGAAAAUGUAGCAGCUACGGGAAUUAAGUUAUAUGGUAGCAUGUGUGGUUACCUACUUGACGGAGACAGAAUCCACAUUAUCAGGUGUGGUCAGAUGAGGGAUUCUCUGCCUGGAGAAGUUGUCAUGGACAAGGUAGGAUUUAAUUUAGGUUGUAAAAGAAUACCAGGAUUUAGGGACUCCUAAAGACAGAGACUGUAUAUCCCUCAUCAGAUCAGCCACUCUUUUCUUUUUUUUUUUUUUUUUUUUUGAGACAGUUUCGCUCUUGUUGCCCAGGCUUGAUUGCAAUGGUGCGAUCUCGGCUCACUGCAACCUCCACCUCCUGGGUUCAAGCGAUUCUCCUGCCUCAGCCUCCCGAGUAACUGGACUACAGGCGCCUGCCACCACACCCAGCUAAUUUUUUGUAUGUUUAGUAGAGGUGGGGUUUCACUAUGUUGGCCAGGCUGGUCUCGAACUCCUGACCUCAGACAAUCCCCCCGCCUCGGCCUCCCAAAGUGCUGGGAUUACAGGCGUGAGCCACUGUGCCCAGCCAACCAGAUCAGCCAUUCUAAGGCCAAGAGUUGCAUUACUCUUUUCUCUGUUUCUUGGAAACAUGACUGGAGGACUUGCUGUAAAAAAUAUUAAGACUUAUUAUGAUAAAGCUAUGGUAAUAACAAGGUGUAGUGUUAGAAUGAACCUGGGCAACAUGGCAAAAUCUUGUCUGUGAAAAAUAUCAAAAAUUAGGUCAGGUGCGGUGGCUCACGCCUGUAAUCCCAGCACUUUGGGAGUCUGAGG
rnacentral:lncRNA from 1 species